CAGUCGCCGCGGGAAUACGUAGGGUGCGAGCGUUAAUCGGAAUUACUGGGCGUAAAGCGUGCGCAGGCGGUUCGUUAAGACAGAUGUGAAAUCCCCGGGCUUAACCUGGGAACUGCAUUUGUGACUGACGGGCUAGAGUAUGGCGGAGGGGGGUAGAAUUCCACGUGUAGCAGUGAAAUGCGUAGAGAUGUGGAGGAAUACCGAUGGCGAAGGCAGCCCCCUGGGCCAAUACUGACGCUCAUGCACGAAAGCGUGGGGAGCAAACAGGAUUAGAUACCCCAGUAGUCCCUGUCUCUUAUAC
rnacentral:rRNA from 1 species